AGUGGACGCUGGCGGUAGGCCUAACACAUGCAAGUCGAACGACAGCACAGGAGAGCUUGCUCUCUGGGUGGCGAGUGGCGGACGGGUGAGGAAUACAUCGGAAUCUACUCUGUCGUGGGGGAUAACGUAGGGAAACUUACGCUAAUACCGCAUACGACCUACGGGGGAAAGCAGGGGAUCUUCGGACCUUGCGCGAUUGAAUGAGCCGAGGUCGGAUUAGCUAGUUGGCGGGGUAAAGGCCCACCAAGGCGACGAUCCGUAGCUGGUCUGAGAGGAUGAUCAGCCACACUGGAACUGAGACACGGUCCAGACUCCUACGGGAGGCAGCAGUGGGGAAUAUUGGACAAUGGGCGCAAGCCUGAUCCAGCCAUACCGCGUGGGUGAAGAAGGCCUUCGGGUUGUAAAGCCCUUUUGUUGGGAAAGAAAUCCAGCUGGCUAAUACCCGGUUGGGAUGACGGUACCCAAAGAAUAAGCACCGGCUAACUUCGUGCCAGCCGCCGCGGUAA
rnacentral:rRNA from 1 species